AAAUGUUGACAAAAAAGUAGACAUAAAAGUAGCCAUAAAGGUAGACGUAAAGGUAGACAUAAAGGUAGACAUAAAGGUAGACAUAAAGGUAGACAUAAAGGUAGAC